UUCCCUGUGGUUCAGUUGGUAGAGCAUGGUGUUUGCAACGCCAGGGUUGUGGGUUCGAUUCCCACAGGGGACC
rnacentral:tRNA from 1 species